rnacentral:misc_RNA from 1 species
AAAAUAACAAAAUACGAUCGAUACGUUUCAUCAUAAAAUAAUAUGAUGCAAAACCAUAACAGAAGACAGACUUCCAGAAUCCAACAGGAUUCCCCCCUCGGGGAAUUAUUCGCAGAAUGAAAAUUGACUCCAACAAUGACGAAAAGAAAACACAAGACACUUAAGAAAGAACUAAUAUGCUGCAUAAACACACCAAAGGCAGCUUAAUUUUUUUUUUUUUUAUAAUAUUACCCCCAA